rnacentral:rRNA from 1 species
UAGGGAAUCUUCCGCAAUGGGCGAAAGCCUGACGGAGCAACGCCGCGUGAGUGAUGAAGGUCUUCGGAUCGUAAAACUCUGUUAUUAGGGAAGAACAAAUGUGUAAGUAACUAUGCACGUCUUGACGGUACCUAAUCAGAAAGCUACGGCUAACUACGUGCCAGCAGCCGCGGUAAUACUUAGGUGGCAAGCGUUAUCCGUCAUUAUUGGGCGUAAAGCGCGCGUAGGCGGUUUUGUAAAUCUGAUGUUAAAGACCACGGCUCAACCGUGGAGGGUCAUUGGAAACUGGAAAACUGGAGGGCAGAAGAGGGAAGUGGAAUUCAAGUUGUAGCGGAGAAAUGCGCAGUGUGAUGGAGGAACAACAGUGGCGAAGGCGACUUUCUGGUCUGUAACUGACGCUGAUGUGAGAAAGCGUGGGGAUCAAACAGG